rnacentral:rRNA from 1 species
CGCGUGGGAACGUGCCCCAAAGUGAGGAAUAACUGCCCGAAAGGGUAGCUAAUGCCGCAUAUGAUCUUCGGAUUAAAGGAUUUAUCCGCUUUGGGAGCGGCCCGCGUCGGAUUAGGUAGUUGGUGAGGUAAAGGCUCACCAAGCCGACGAUCCGUAGCUGGUCUGAGAGGAUGACCAGCCAGACUGGAACUGAGACACGGUCCAGACUCCUACGGGAGGCAGCAGUGAGGAAUCUUCCACAAUGGGCGAAAGCCUGAUGGAGCAACGCCGCGUGCAGGAUGAAGGCCUUCGGGUCGUAAACUGCUUUUAUGAGCGAAGAAUAUGACGGUAACUCAUGAAUAAGGGUCGGCUAACUACGUG